CGAGUAACCAUUGCAAGCCGGCGACAGUGUACUCACUGGGCAUACUGUUGUUUGCCUUGGUGUGCGGACAAUUUCCCAGCUUUCAUGAGCUCCAACAGAUCAAUGAUAGGACAUGGAGCAAAGACGGCUUGACUGCAGAAUGCUGUGAUUUCAUUCAUGCCUUACUUCAGCGGAAUCCAGAUGAGCGGAUCCAUCUGGGAAACAUUUUCGACCACGCAUGGAUUUGAGGCUCUGUACUAGAUUUUUUUUAUGUUCAAGUCUUUUUUUGUUUCAGCUUUUGUAGCAUCUGCUUUAGCUGUCAUUCAUACUCCUGGCACUAAGCAAAAAAAUCAGGUUUGACAUCGAGUCCUAACCAAACAAGUUGCGGUGCUGCGACACGCGACAAAAGAUACGUUUUCCAUGUUUUUAAGAGGUUUUGUCCUAACCAGCCGCGAUAGCAACUUUUUAAGAAGAAACUGGGUCUCGUUCACAAAGCAUGCGUACGCACAAAUUUGUACGUGAAACCUGCGUACGAACGAUUUCAAGAACAAAUCAUGAUUCACAAAAACUUUCGUACUAAAAUGUAUUCUAAAUAUAAGCGAAAAGAUAGGAACCGUUGAAAGCACACGUACGCAAAAAUCACCAGACUCUUUCGUUCCUUCUCUCUCAGACAAAAUGUAUGUUUCAUCUUAGGAUAAUAGUUAUAUACUUUAAAUAAUAUAUAAAUAAAUAAAUAUAUAUUUAAUUACGUGUAGAUGCAUAUUUAAUUUUAAAAUUAUUUCAUCAUAUCCAGUGAAAGAGUAAGAAAAGCUGCGUUAGACUAUAGCCCGAGCUGCAAUGUUUUACUGAGUAACAGCGCUUUUACAGCCGGCAAACGAGAAUUCUUUAAACUGCGUGUCCGUAUAAAAGGUGUUUUAUUGUGUAUGAGCAGAUUUUGAGGACUGCGCACUUGGAAUUAAUUGCGAGAGCGUGUCUGUAGACAGCAUCACAUGGGGUUGCCUGGAGUAUCUUAAAAUGGAUCCAGGGGGCCACAGAUUUUGUGGCAUUUUAUGAAGUAUAGAAAUUUAUCAUAGAUUUUAUGCAAUCAAACAUCAGAAAAAUGACACCACCAACCAAAAGAAUUGAGGUUCCAGCAUUGUAUAAUAUGAAUGUUUUUGGUUUAAUUAAAAUUCUAAGUUGAUUAUACGUCUUUAUAUGGGGGACCGCAAAGCGAUGCACUUAACACAAAGGGGGCCUUACAACGAAAAAGUUUGAGAACCACUGCUCUACAGUACAGCAACAAUGAUGUCACACACAUCAAUAACCCAGAACACUUUUGAAGUGUUAACCCUAGUCUAGUCUAAUGGUAGUCUAGUGUCAACCCUUAGUCUAACCCUAACCCUAAUAUUUACUAUUAGACCACAGAAUUUAUCAAGUUGUUCAGUCAUGAGUUGCUGUAAAUUUGCACUGUAAAUUUAAAGGUUGACUAUUAAACGAACUACAGUCUAGAUUCUUGCAUUCCAGUCAUCAGAUUAAAUGCAAAUGAUUAUCUUUGCCUGAAAUGUUAUGAACAGCAGCUACGCUAAUUGUUUUCCAUCUGUUUUUCUGUUUCUACUUUGAGUGCCCAUCCUGAGGAAACUAGAGAUUACACCAGCUCCAGUUUACAUCCAGACAUUUCGGAAGACUUCAGAUGACCUGUAGAUGAAGUGUCACAGCGGUACCUCCACAGGCAAGCAGUGGUAUUGCAUCUGCCUAGACUGCAGGCACUGGAUGGUAUUGUUAUCACCGUGGAGGAAAGAACCAGAAAACAGGUAGCUCACACACAGGCCUUUACAAUCCAGGUGAAGCAUAAAGUCUGAGUCCUAAAUUCAGAACAAGACACAAAUCACAUGUAUUUAUGUGUGUGUGUGUGUGUGUAGGGUUCUAGCUCAGGUGUACGUACGUAUAUACAUCACACCAAUAUAUGCACGUUUUUGUGAUGUACGCUCAAACAGCUUUUCAUGUGUGUUUUUAGAUUAUGAGCAGAGAGGAUGUGUCUCUCUCCUGCGUGGGCACAUAAGUUAUUAAAAAGUCGCAUAAGAUUUUAAAACGUUUUGCUUAAAAUGUAUUCAUGUUUUUUAAUUAGUUAUACAAUAUAUAACUGCAUAGGCCUAUAGGCGAUACAAAAUAUUUUUUUGGAAAAUCUUUCACAGAACUUAGAAAUCAACUAGCUAACUUACUCAUUUAUACUUUCUAUAUAAUUAUAUAGUCUAGUAGGCUGUAGUUUGUUCCAUCCAUAUAACUAACUAUAAUUAAAGGAAUUGCUGUAAUCAUUAGAGUUUAAAUAGCAUACAUUCUUGAAACUUAUUUAGAUUUGGUUCCGAUUCCCGUAACAUUAAAAAAAUCCCCAACAUACAAGUUUUCUUUAUUUUUAUUCUAAAAUGUUUAAUUUGUGUUGCUGGAGUAAAAUUAGAAUUUGGCUUGCAUUAUGCAUUUUGUUUUUAUUUAAUAUGCAGGAUUUUUUUAUAAAAAUUUUUCAUGUUUACAAUAAAUGCACACAAAGCACCACCGAAUACUGCAAAACAAAUUUCAAUAUGAACAUAAUUUAACUCCACAAACUUAUCAAAAUGGAAGAUAAUAGACAUUAGUUUACUUGUUUUGUCAACUAUUGGCUAUUGCUUGUUGUUGGAGGUCUUUCACUUUAAAAUAAUGAUUAUUACACAUACCUUUCGUGGCCAGAAGAGGGCAGUGCAGCCAACCCCAAUAAGUGCUAUGUGGAGGUGCGUUUAGGUGAUUUUUUUCUUGACAUGAAGAAAACGAUAAGUACAUUUUAAAAAAUGCAACAAAAGAAAGGAAUUUGAAGAGAAAGCAUAAAAUUGAAAGAAAUUGUAUGCAAUUUGGACAACAGUUCUUGGAUUCCAGUUCUCUCUGAACACAUUUUCACCCGCCACACAUUACCCACACACACAAAUAAAAAGCAUUCAGAUGGGAACAGCAUCCCUUGGUAACAUAUCUAAUAGUUCAUAGCUAGACUGAAAUCCAGACAUUUACCACAAACAUUUUUUUAGAGAGAGAAAGUUAAAAUGGCGUCUUAAUGCAGAAAUCUUAAACAAUUUUAUAGCACAGUGCAGUCUAAAUGGGAAUCAGAGAAACUGUUCAACAGUGUUUCACACACAGAGACACAAUUCUGCAUCGCUGCAUAUCACGUCAAUGUUUAGCACUGUAAUUGUUCUUAAGUUGGGUACUAAAUUUAUGGAUACGUAGCUACUGAACAGUUGCUCUAGAUCUGUAACGUAAGUGACUCUUAAAAUGGGAUUACACAUAGUUUGUAGAUGAAGCAAGCAUGGAGGUUAAUAAAAUGCUGUUGAUGGUAGGACUACUUUCUCGUGUGUGUACAUGUGUGUUUGCAGUAACGUGACAGAAAACCCAGUGAUAAUAGGGCUAAAUGAUGUAUUCCUCGUAUUGUUUCUAUCUUCAGCAGUAAAAAAAAUUACGCAAACUUUUGAAAGAUUAGGUCUAUCAAAAGAUAUUUGUUAUCGGUUAUAAGCAGCAUGAAGAGGAAAACAAACUAGUGGGCUAUCAGUGUUUAUUAAUGCAUUUUGUUUUUCUAUUUAGUUAUUUUACUUAUUCGAUUUCAGUAUAUGUAUUUCUUGUUUUUGAAAUACUUUGUUUAUUGAAACGAAACUGCACACGUUUCCAUUAACAGUAAAGUUUGACAUUAUAAACAUCAGAUCAAGAUCAGACUGCUGUGUGAGGUGAUGUCCUGUAAGCGACACUAUAACCUUUCUGUUGUUUAAACUUGGCGAAGUGAUAUGGAACUCAGCAGACCUGGAACACCUUCAUAGUUGUGCAUUUUACUGAAAGCUAAUGCAUAACCAUGGAACGUUUGUCAACCAAUCAGAUUGAAGCAUUCAACAGCCCCGUGGUAUAAUUAUUGAUAGGACAUGUGCUGUUUCAUUGUGAUAUUUGCCAGCGAUUUAAAAAAUAUCUGCCUUCCCCCAUUCAAGGUUCUUCAUUCUAGAUAGGACUGUGGACUUGCUCUUAACUGCCCAGAGGAGUUGCAAACGUGGCCGUGUUAGCUCAGGGGUCUCCCAGGCUGUUACAGUAUACACUUACACAACAGUUUUGAUGUCCACUGGGACCUACUGUACAUGAAGAACACACUUACCCAAUCAAGGGACUCCUGAAGUAUGAGUUUGUGUAAGUGCACAAAACUGAUCUCAAGUCAUUGCAUUCAUUUGUGUGUGUGGUUAUGAGCAGAUGUCCUCGUAUGAACUCCAUAACCCGGCUAUAGUGCAUGAGAGAAAAGGUCAGAGGUUAUUUCAACACAACUGUUUUGCCCCUCCAAGCUUAUUUCCAACAAAUGCAAUAAUCAAAGAUGAAGAAAAAUAGUGAAAAUGAUUUCUGAUGGUUUGGAAACAUCUACUCUCUUAAGUGUUGCACUAACUAUAUUAGCUUGUGUUAUGAAAAUGGUCAUGCACAUUCUUUUGCGGUUGUGGUUUUAUGAAGCCAGGCUUGUGGCUGUAAACUCCUAAAUGAAAUGAGAGAAUAGUUUAAGACUGUCAAUUAAAGAAUAAAGAAUGUGUGUGUGUGUCUGUGUAACUAUACAUGUAUUUAAAAUAUAAGCCUUUAUAAAGUUCACAGUCUUCAAAAGUUGUUAAAAAUGAAUCUAAUGUUACAAUAUACAGAUUGAACUCCGUGUGUUUAAAUUAGCAUUAAAUUGACCAGCUUCUAUGGUUACAAAGCAGAAAGGCAGUAAAAUGACUUCAGUGCAGUCAGAUAAUGAUUUAUGACUUUAUAAAAACAGAACAGAGUUCUGAUUAAAACUAAGUGAAUGGAAAACAGCAUUAAUGGGUGCUGGUGCCACAACCGAACCUCAAAUAGUCUCGUCUUCUUUUCUCGCAUUCUUGUGGAUGCUCUGAAAAACAGACAAAAAUAAAAAAAUACAGCAUCCUUUUUGUAAUCAUAGCAGUUUUCUAUUUAGAGUAUUUUUUUUAUCUAAGAGUUUGGGCCACUGAACAGACUGUUUAAAGGGCCAGUGUGUACAUUCUUUUGGAGGGUCUUUUGACAGAAAUGCAACAUAAUAUACUAGGGGUGUAACGGUACGCGUAUUCGUACCGAACCAUCACAAGCUGUCGAGGGGAAAAUUCCAAAAUGGAGGGCAGAGCCCUCUGAGUUUAGACUUUGGAGUGAACAAGGCAUUUGCGU